AAUUACUGCAAUGCGAUAAAGAUAGAAGGAUCUCGUGAAAGAUUAAAACGAGCGCCAUUGUAGUAAUGGAGAAGACUCUGUUUGAUAUCAAGAUUCUUUAACCAUGUCGUUAUUUAACACAAAUGAUCGAUGAUUAUUAUAAGAUAAAUACAUCAUACCUGAGAACUACGUUUGCCGGAAGUUCUUCUGGAAACGGCAUGUGGAGGUGCAAGAGCAUCCAAUUCCUUACGUUUCUUCAUUUUCUUCGUUGGUUGACGAAGCGGAACCGUAACCGCUACCGAGUCCAUCUCAAGUAAACACUCCUCCUUCGUCUCCUUGAUUUACAUAUACUUAUUAUUCUUAUGCCGAUGUAUAUCUCGAGGUAGUUGUCAAGUUUAUAAUACAGAGUUAUAUUAUAA